CCUACGGGUGGCUGCAGUGAGGAAUAUUGCGCAAUGGAGGCAACUCUGACGCAGCCAUGCCGCGUGCAGGAAGAAGGCGCUACGCGUUGUAAACUGCUUUUAACCGGGAAGAAACCCCUCUACGUGUGGAGGGUUGACGGUACCGGAGGAAUAAGCACCGGCUAACUUCGUGCCAGCAGCCGCGGUAAUACGAAGGGUGCAAGCGUUAUCCGGAUUCAUUGGGUUUAAAGGGUGCGUAGGCGGGGCGUUAAGUCAGUGGUGAAAUCCUGCAGCUC
rnacentral:rRNA from 1 species